CCUACGGGGGGUAGCAGUGGGGAAUAUUGGACAAUGGGCGAAAGCCUGAUCCAGCCAUGCCGCGUGUGUGAAGAAGGCCUUCGGGUUGUAAAGCACUUUCAGUGGGGAAGAAAGCCUUGGGGCUAAUACCCUCGAGGAAGGACAUCACCCACAGAAGAAGCACCGGCUAACUCCGUGCCAGCAGCCGCGGUAAUACGGAGGGUGCGAGCGUUAAUCGGAAUUACUGGGCGUAAAGCGCGCGUAGGCGGUCUGAUAAGCCGGUUGUGAAAGCCCCGGGCUCAACCUGGGAACGGCAUCCGGAACUGUCAGGCUAGAGUGCAGGAGAGGAAGGUAGAAUUCCCGGUGUAGCGGUGAAAUGCGUAGAGAUCGGGAGGAAUACCAGUGGCGAAGGCGGCCUUCUGGACUGACACUGACGCUGAGGUGCGAAAGCGUGGGUAGCAAACAGGAUUAGAUACCCUGGUAGUC
rnacentral:rRNA from 1 species